rnacentral:SRP_RNA from 1 species
UGGCGGGCAGUCCGGGUGGUUCGGCGUCACCUAUUACCCGAAAUCGUCGAUAAGCGGGGGGCGAAGCUGACGGAAGACUUCGAGAUCUGCAUGCUCAGUCCUGUUGCGGACAAUGAUUCUCCGUCCUGUAGGGAUAGCAUCGGUCCAUGGGCCAUCCUGAAGGAAGGCUUGUGUCCCAUAAUUGCAGGAACCGGUUCAGGCCCGGAAGGGAGCAAACCCACUGCGGGUAACUGUCGCUUACAGGUAUAAGGGGAGGAGGACGCUUCGGGAUUAACUGGCAGGCAGGCUUGCUGGCAACCGUCGGCGGGCUCGCCA